GACGUAGGGCGCGAGCGUUGUCCGGAUUUAUUGGGCGUAAAGAGCUCGUAGGCGGUUCGAUAAGUCGGACGUGAAAUCUCCACGCUCAACGUGGAGGGGCCGUUCGAUACUGUCGUGACUCGAGUCCGGUAGGGGAGUGUGGAAUUCCCGGUGUAGCGGUGAAAUGCGCAGAGAUCGGGAGGAACACCCGUAGCGGAAGGCGGCACUCUGGGCCGGUACUGACGCUGAGGAGCGAAAGCGUGGGGAGCAACAGGGAUUAAGAUACCCUUGAG
rnacentral:rRNA from 1 species